GGGACCUUGGCGCAGUUGGCUAGCGCGCAGGUCUCAUAUCCCCAUAUGAUCUGGUUAAAAAAUCAGAGUAAUCCUGAGGUCGGGAGUUCGAGCCUCCCAGGUCCCA
rfam:Sordaria macrospora k-hell, WGS project CABT02000000 data, contig: 2.17